rnacentral:rRNA from 1 species
UAUAAUGCAAGUCGAACGAACUCUGGUAUUGAUUGGUGCUUGCAUCAUGAUUUACAUUUGAGUGAGUGGCGAACUGGUGAGUAACACGUGGGAAACCUGCCCAGAAGCGGGGGAUAACACCUGGAAACAGAUGCUAAUACCGCAUAACAACUUGGACCGCAUGGUCCGAGUUUGAAAGAUGGCUUCGGCUAUCACUUUUGGAUGGUCCCGCGGCGUAUUAGCUAGAUGGUGGGGUAACGGCUCACCAUGGCAAUGAUACGUAGCCGACCUGAGAGGGUAAUCGGCCACAUUGGGACUGAGACACGGCCCAAACUCCUACGGGAGGCAGCAGUAGGGAAUCUUCCACAAUGGACGAAAGUCUGAUGGAGCAACGCCGCGUGAGUGAAGAAGGGUUUCGGCUCGUAAAACUCUGUUGUUAAAGAAGAACAUAUCUGAGAGUAACUGUUCAGGUAUUGACGGUAUUUAACCAGAAAGCCACGGCUAACUACGUGCCAGCAGCCGCGGUAAUACGUAGGUGGCAAGCGUUGUCCGGAUUUAUUGGGCGUAAAGCGAGCGCAGGCG